GGUUGGAGAUGGUGCUAGAAAGUGUCAUUGAGACCACAGCAGAGAUUGAAAAUUUCAAUAUCUUCUCAGGCACUGUUGGAGUAAGCCGGCACAGCGUAUCAAUUCACUCAUUGGCUGAAACUGCAUUGAUGUUGCUGAUGGGUGGAUAAUGCCAUACAAAAUGUCACUGAUUUCCAGAAUCAGUUUUGUGCAUUGAAGAAAAAGUAAAAAAAAAAAUUACGACACUCUUGUAAAUAUGCAUGCAUAAAAGCCAUAAAAGAUUCCUUUUCUUCAAGUAAUAAAGAUGUCAAUUAUUGCAUUCUACCUACCAAGAUUCAUAUUGCCUUCUGUUGAGAUAUCACUGUCACAUGUACUGUAGAUAAUUAACCUAACAUUUCCUUUGAAAUAUUCUGCUAACUUCUUGUUAAAUAGGCUCAUGGUAAGAUAAAGAGGAGCACACUGAAUUAUGGGGCCAUGCCCAGACAAAAUCACACUAAAAUCAUUCUAGGAAAAACAAAUUCUGUGAAAAAUAACUAUGAAAGCUCUAUAAAAUUCGAUAAAAUGAAACAACAGAACAAUCACGAUGUUUCCGAUCACUUACAGUGGUUCAUGUCCGAACAGUGCUUCAGAGACUGAAAAAUUGAGUAGACCAAAUCGAGCAGAGCACGAACUAGAAGAACAUGGUGUUUCUGUAAGAGACGAAUUAUGGACAAAAUGACUGUCAUGCUGCGAAGGCAAGUGAAUUUUAG
rnacentral:lncRNA from 1 species